rnacentral:rRNA from 1 species
CAGAAACUCAAAGGAAUUGACGGGGGCCCGCAUAAGCGGAGGAGCAUGUGGUUUAAUCCGAUGAUACGCGAGGAACCUUACCUGGGCUCGAACGUAAGAUGACUGUAGGUGAAAGCUUACAUCUCUUCGGAGCAUUUUACGAGGUGCUGCAUGGUUGUCGUCAGCUCGUGCCGUGAGGUGUCGGGUUAAGUCCCAUAACGAGCGCAACCCUACCUUUAGUUGCCAUCAGGUAAUGCUGGGGACUCUAAAGGAACUGCCUACGCAAGUAGUGAGGAAGGCGGGGAUGACGUCAAAUCAGCACGGCCCUUACGUCCAGGGCUACACACGUGCUACAAUGGCCGAUACAGAGGGCAGCUACCUGGUGACAGGAUGCAAAUCUCCAAAGUCGGUCUCAGUUCGGAUCGGAGUCUGCAACCCGACUCCGUGAAGUUGGAUUCGCUAGUAAUCGCGCAUCAGCCAUGGCGCGGUGAAUACGUUCCCGGGCCUU